AACGAACGCUGGCGGCAGGCUUAACACAUGCAAGUCGAACGGGUGUAGCAAUACAUCAGUGGCAGACGGGUGAGUAACACGUGGGAACCUUCCUAGGGGUACGGAACAACUCAGGGAAACUUGAGCUAAUACCGUAUACGUCCGUAAGGAGAAAGAUUCAUCGCCCCUAGACGGGCCCGCGUCGGAUUAGGUAGUUGGUGGGGUAACGGCCUACCAAGCCUACGAUCCGUAGCUGAUCUGAGAGGANGAUCAGCCACACUGGGACUGAGACACGGCCCAGACUCCUACGGGAGGCAGCAGUGGGGAAUCUUGGACAAUGGGCGCAAGCCUGAUCCAGCCAUGCCGCGUGAGUGAAGAAGGCCUUAGGGUUGUAAAG
rnacentral:rRNA from 1 species